GGGGACGUGGCGGAAUUGGCAUACGCGCAAGGCUUAGGACCUUGUGCCCGCAAGGGCUUGUGGGUUCAACUCCCACCGUCCCCACCA
rnacentral:tRNA from 1 species